AGGUAUUGAAAUAGUCUAUUUAUCAUUCUGAUUGCUCAUUUUACUUAUUCCAAAUUAAUCUAAUAAGAAUAAACUUGCAUAGGGAGAUUCGAACACGGAGAAUGAUUAGUUGCUUAAGCAUUCACAUUAGGGUCACACAAUCAAUUACCUCCUGAAUGUAUCGUCUUUAUUUCCAAUAUCUGAAUAUACAAGGAAACAAUAAUCUCCUCCUUCACCUUAUCGGUCUCUUCCUUACAGCAAUUCAGUCAUACUAAUAACUGCUAUUUCCACCAAUAUAUUCACCCUCAUAAUCUCCAACUAUAAUACUACGCCCUUACAGCUUUCAGCACACAAUUACCCUCAUUUCAAUCACUGGAAUUCUUCACACAGAACUGCCAUUCACAUUACGGUGUUUCACACAAACACAAACUCAUUCUCUCUACUGCACUACAAUCAGAUUUCAGCAUUCAAUCUUUCUUCUUCUCAAAUAAUACCAAUCACAUUUCCAUUCCAUAAUUCACUUCACAAUAUUCAGAAACUCUCAAUUCUCUUAUUCAAAGAAAAUAACAAACAAAAGAAAAGAGGUAGCACCAAGCUUACCUCGCCUCACAACUAUCACAGCGAUGGCCCUCAGCUCAUGACUAUUACAGUCUGGCACCUUAAUUAACUUCUACAACUCCUAUAUACUUUCCCCUGAUUUUCUAGAUUCUAAUCAUAAUUUUGUAAUUAACCACUUUUAAUAACUAAAUUACUCAUCCAUCCUCUUGAAUUUCCUAUUAUAUGGACUAUUAAUAUAUUUUACCAAUAU
rnacentral:lncRNA from 1 species